rnacentral:rRNA from 1 species
GACGAACGCUGGCGGCGUGCCUAAUACAUGCAAGUUGAGCGCUGAAGGUUGGUACUUGUACCGACUGGAUGAGCAGCGAACGGGUGAGUAACGCGUGGGGAAUCUGCCUUUGAGCGGGGGACAACAUUUGGAAACGAAUGCUAAUACCGCAUAAAAACUUUAAACACAAGUUUUAAGUUUGAAAGAUGCAAUUGCAUCACUCAAAGAUGAUCCCGCGUUGUAUUAGCUAGUUGGUGAGGUAAAGGCUCACCAAGGCGAUGAUACAUAGCCGACCUGAGAGGGUGAUCGGCCACAUUGGGACUGAGACACGGCCCAAACUCCUACGGGAGGCAGCAGUAGGGAAUCUUCGGCAAUGGACGAAAGUCUGACCGAGCAACGCCGCGUGAGUGAAGAAGGUUUUCGGAUCGUAAAACUCUGUUGGUAGAGAAGAACGUUGGUGAGAGUGGAAAGCUCAUCAAGUGACGGUAACUACCCAGAAAGGGACGGCUAACUACGUGCCAGCAGCCGCGGUAAUACGUAGGUCCCGAGCGUUGUCCGGAUUUAUUGGGCGUAAAGCGAGCGCAGGUGGUUUAUUAAGUCUGGUGUAAAAGGCAGUGGCUCAACCAUUGUAUGCAUUGGAAACUGGUAGACUUGAGUGCAGGAGAGGAGAGUGGAAUUCCAUGUGUAGCGGUGAAAUGCGUAGAUAUAUGGAGGAACACCGGUGGCGAAAGCGGCUCUCUGGCCUGUAACUGACACUGAGGCUCGAAAGCGUGGGGAGCAAACAGG